rnacentral:tRNA from 1 species
GAAGGUAUAGCUCAAGUGGUAGAGCAUGUGUUUUGCAUGCACGAGGUUCUGGGUUCAAUUCCCAGUGCCUCCU